rnacentral:rRNA from 1 species
AGUGAACGCUGGCGGCAGGCCUAACACAUGCAAGUCGAACGGCAGCACAUUACUAGCUUGCUAUUUCGGCUGGCGAGUGGCGGUCGGUUUAUGCUUACAUCGGAAUCUAUUUUUUCUUGGGGGAUAACGUAGGCAAUCUUACGUUAAUACCCCAUACGACCUACGUGUGAAAUCAGGGGAUCUUCGUAUCUCGCGCGAUUGAAUGAGCUGUUGUCGGAUUAGUUAGUUGGCGGGGUAAAGGCCCACCAAUGCGACGAUCCGUAGCUGGUCUGAGAGGAUGAUAAGCAACACUGGAACUGAGACACGGUACAGAAUCCUAAGGGAGGCAGAAGUGGGGAAUAUUGGACAAUGGGCGCAAGCAUGAUCCAGCCAUCCCGCGUGGGUGAAGAAGGCUUUCGGAUUGUAAAGCACUUGUGGUGGGAAUGAAGAGCAGUAGGUUAAUACCCUGCUGUUCUGACGUUACUAAAAGAAUAAGCACCGGCUAACUUCGUG